UACGGAGGGUGCAAGCGUUAUCCGGAUUCACUGGGUUUAAAGGGUGCGUAGGCGGGUAUGUAAGUCCGUGGUGAAAUCUCUGAGCUUAACUCAGAAACUGCCGUGGAUACUAUUUGCCUUGAAUAUUGUGGAGGUGAGCGGAAUAUGUCAUGUAGCGGUGAAAUGCUUAGAUAUGACAUAGAACACCAAUUGCGAAGGCAGCUCACUACACAAUGAUUGACGCUGAGGCACGAAAGCGUGGGGAUCAAACAGG
rnacentral:rRNA from 1 species